rnacentral:piRNA from 1 species
UGGACAUCUCUGCCUAUUAUCAGUGCUGGG